UACGUAGGUCCCGAGCGUUGUCCGGAUUUAUUGGGCGUAAGGCGAGCGCAGGUGGUUUAUUAAGUCUGGUGUAAAAAGCAGUGGCUCAACCAUUGUAUGCAUUGGAAACUGGUAGACUUGAGUGCAGGAGAGGAGAGUGGAAUUCCAUGUGUAGCGGUGAAAUGCGUAGAUAUAUGGAGGAACACCGGUGGCGAAAGCGGCUCUCUGGCCUGUAACUGACACUGAGGCUCGAAAGCGUGGGGAGCAAACAGG
rnacentral:rRNA from 1 species